AACGUAGGAGGCGAGCGUUAUCCGGAUUUACUGGGCGUAAAGCGCGUGCAGGCGGUUUGGUAAGUCGAGCGUGAAAGCUCCCAGGCUCAACCGGGAGAGGACGUGCGAAACUGCCAGACUAGAGGUAGAGAGAGGCAAGUAGAAUUCCGGGUGUAGUGGUGAAAUGCGUAGAUAUCCGGAGGAAUACCAGUGGCGAAGGCGACUUGCUGGCUCUGCACUGACGCUCAGACGCGAAAGCAUGGGGAGCGAACGGG
rnacentral:misc_RNA from 1 species